rnacentral:rRNA from 1 species
UACAGAGGUCUCAAGCGUUGUUCGGAUUCAUUGGGCGUAAAGCGCGCGUAGGCGGCCCGGUAAGUCCGCUCUGAAAGUCCAGGGCUUAACCCUGGAAAGCGGGUGGAUACUGCCGGGCUUGAAUCCGGAAGAGGCGAGUGGAACUCCUGGUGUAGCGGUGAAAUGCGCAGAUAUCAGGAAGAACACCAAUAGCGAAGGCAGCUCGCUGGUACGUAACUGACACUGAGACGCGAAAGCGUGGGGAGCAAACAGG